GAAGCAGCUUGCUGCUUCGCUGACGAGUGGCGGACGGGUGAGUAAUGUCUGGGAAGCUGCCUGAUGGAGGGGGAUAACUACUGGAAACGGUAGCUAAUACCGCAUAAUGUCGCAAGACCAAAGAGGGGGACCUUCGGGCCUCUUGCCAUCGGAUGUGCCCAGAUGGGAUUAGCUUGUUGGUGGGGUAACGGCUCACCAAGGCGACGAUCCCUAGCUGGUCUGAGAGGAUGACCAGCCACGCUGGAACUGAGACACGGUCCAGACUCCUACGGGAGGCAGCAGUGGGGAAUAUUGCACAAUGGGCGCAAGCCUGAUGCAGCCAUGCCGCGUGUAUGAAGAAGGCCUUCGGGUUGUAAAGUACUUUCAGCGGGGAGGAAGGGAGUAAAGUUAAUACCUUUGCUCAUUGACGUUACCCGCAGAAGAAGCACCGGCUAACUCCGUGCCAGCAGCCGCGGUAAUACGGAGGGUGCAAGCGUUAAUCGGAAUUACUGGGCGUAAAGCGCACGCAGGCGGUUUGUUAAGUCAGAUGUGAAAUCCCCGGGCUCAACCUGGGAACUGCAUCUGAUACUGGCAAGCUUGAGUCUCGUAGAGGGGGGUAGAAUUCCAGGUGUAGCGGUGAAAUGCGUAGAGAUCUGGAGGAAUACCGGUGGCGAAGGCGGCCCCCUGGACGAAGACUGACGCUCAGGUGCGAAAGCGUGGGGAGCAAACAGGAUUAGAUACCCUGGUAGUCCACGCCGUAAACGAUGUCGACUUGGAGGUUGUGCCCUUGAGGCGUGGCUUCCGGAGCUAACGCGUUAAGUCGACCGCCUGGGGAGUACGGCCGCAAGGUUAAAACUCAAAUGAAUUGACGGGGGCCCGCACAAGCGGUGGAGCAUGUGGUUUAAUUCGAUGCAACGCGAAGAACCUUACCUGGUCUUGACAUCCACGGAAGUUUUCAGAGAUGAGAAUGUGCCUUCGGGAACCGUGAGACAGGUGCUGCAUGGCUGUCGUCAGCUCGUGUUGUGAAAUGUUGGGUUAAGUCCCGCAACGAGCGCAACCCUUAUCCUUUGUUGCCAGCGGUCCGGCCGGGAACUCAAAGGAGACUGCCAGUGAUAAA
rnacentral:rRNA from 1 species